UUUCAUCGCAUGCCAUAAAAAUAUCAAAGGCUCUCAAAUAUACGCAGAUAGAUAACACGAUGGACGCUCCCAGAGGAAAUAUGCGUCUGCAUAUUUGCUUCCAAAUAUGGGGCAAACUUCUGACAUGGAAGAGCACCUUGGGAAGAGCAAGGCAGACUGUGCGAACAUCUAAUGAGGAUGACAUGUCUUUGUUCCUGCUCAGAAGCCCUCAUUAGGGAUGUAGACUAGGAAGAAUGCAGCAGGGGAGGCAGGGAGCAGCUGGCAGUCUAUGGCACCAUCUGACCCUUAUUGGGCACCGUUUACAAGCAGCAGGAAGGAAUGAAUAAGACCACCAGUAAAGUUGGACAGAUCGACACUGACUGACUGACUGACUGAAAAAUAUUAUUCUGUGCUUCAAAUGCUAUGAAGCUGGGCCAACGGAAAAUGAUGAAGGACAUAAAUUUAGGGGUUUUCCACAGCACAGGAGAGAGAGAGAGAUAAAGCAAGAGAAAUAUACUGGGAAAAACAGUAAUUGGUUCCUUUUGAGAGGUCAGAGGUCAGACUUAUAACAGCUUGAGGCACUUGCA